UGAAAUCACAAUCUCUUACAGCUCAACAAGCACUGUAGAGAGAGAGAUGGGUGCGAUUUCUUGCCAACGGGAUCCUGAUUGGGUUGUUUCUUCGACCGAAUCAAUCCUACAGAACGAUAAUCAGACGACUGUAGAAUUGGAAGACGAAGAAGAAAGAAUGAGACUUUUCAGUGGCUUUAAUCGGACCCAGGAGAGGAAGAUGGAGGAGAAGACGAAGAACAAGAAGACGAAGACGAAGAAGAAGAAGAACCAGGUGUUGCUGGAAGGGUACGUGGAGGUGCCGAGUGAGGAUGAUUUGAAGAGGACCAAGAGCUUGACUGACGAGGACCUUGAUGAGCUUAAAGGGUGCUUGGAUCUCGGGUUUGGUUUCAGCUACGAUGAGAUCCCUGAGCUCUGCAACACCUUGCCCGCUCUCGAGCUUUGCUACUCCAUGAGCCAACGAUUUCAUGAUGAACACCACAAGUCCCCUGAAACCUCCGGUGUAUCUGAGCCAAGCUCGAGCCCGGUCCCCAAUUGGAAGAUCUCUAGUCCUGGUGAUCAUCCAGAAGAAGUUAAAGCAAGGCUCAAAUAUUGGGCACAGGCCGUGGCAUGUACUGUUAAAUUAUGCAGCUGAUAAGCAAUUGUUUUGGGUGUAAAAUAUUCAUAUUCAGAGUGAACGGCAGUUGAAAUUUGCAUCCGGGUUUGGAAGUCACAGCCUGGGCAUUCAUCUACUUUGUCCACUCCAUGGGAACUUUUUGGACGAAUGAGAGAGUUCCUGCCAUUCUUUAGCUGGUUUGGACCAGCUCGACCCUGUCCAUGAUGGAUCAACCUUAAAGAUGCGGAGAAACAAGAGGAAGAGGACGAGGAUGAAGAAUGUUUCAGUAGUGCUGAGAGCCUGCAUUAUAAACUUCGCCUGCUAGUCUAUUCACCUCUGCGUAUGCUGAGAUGAAAUGACCCAUCUGGCUGGUACUGCCGAGGGCGAGCGAGGAGUAGAGAAAUACCAGUGAUGCUGUGUAUGUGCAUAUAUCUCUGGAUCACUAUAGUCAUAGCUCUCGCCGUGACUGAGUAUAAUGAACAAUUAUCUAUGCGGGAAAGACAAGUUCCCUCCUUGUUUUGAUCAUGUUUACUGGAAACUUGACAUUUUUUUAGUUUUGGUCCGUCUUCUCGACUGCAAAAGGCAUAUGAAGAUGGGCUAAAUUGCAGUUUUUUUGAAGCUCAAUCCUGUAUAGAUAGAUGUGUUUAUUCCAGCCAUGUUGAGAUUGUUUUGAAAGGAAGGUGGCAUCACCUUCCACUUGUGGAUAAGGAAGGGAUAUUCUUUCUUGGUUCAAAAUUCCUUA